rnacentral:rRNA from 1 species
AGAGUUUGAUCCUGGCUCAGGAUGAACGUUGGCGGUGUGCCUAAUACAUGCAAGUCGAACGGAGUUAAUAGCAAUAUUGACUUAGUGGCGAACGGGUGAGUAACGCGUUGGUGAUCUGCCUCGAAGUGUGGAAUAACGUUCCGAAAGGAACGCUAAUACCGCAUGUGCUCUCGAUUUUUAGAAAGUUGAGAGUAAAGGAUUUAUUCGCUUCGAGAGGAGCCUGCGUCCCAUCAGCUGGUUGGUAGGGUAACGGCCUACCAAGGCUAUGACGGGUAGGGGACCUGAGAGGGUGGCCCCCCACAAUGGAACUGAAACACGGUCCAUACACCUACGGGUGGCAGCAGUAGGGAAUAUUAGAAAUGGACGAAAGUCUGAUCUAGCAACACCGCGUGUGCGAAGAAGGCCUUCGGGUUGUAAAGCACUUUUUGGAAGGAAUAGGAAGGAAUGUACUUCCAGAAUAAGUCUCGGCUAACUACAUGCCAGCAGCCGCGGUAACACGUAGGAGGCGAACGUUAUCCGGAUUUACUGGGCGUAAAGCGCGUGUAGGUGGUUCUGUAAGUAGGGCGUGAAAGCUCCCGGCUCAACUGGGAGAGGCCGUUCUAAACUACAGAACUAGAGGAUGGUAGAGGGAGGUGGAAUUCCAGGUGUAGCGGUGGAAUGCGCAGAUAUCUGGAGGAACACCAGUGGCGAAGGCGGCCUCCUGGACCAUUCCUGACACUCAGACGCGAAAGCUAGGGUAGCAAACGGGAUUAGAGACCCCGGUAGUCCUAGCCCUAAACGAUGUAGACUAGGCGUCGGUGGUUUAAUCACCAUCGGUGUCCAAGCUAACGCGAUAAGUCUACCGCCUGGGGACUACGGCCGCAAGGUUAAAACUCAAAGGAAAUUGACG